UACGGGGGGAGCGAGCGUUGUACGGAAUUACUGGGCGUAAAGGGGGUCUAGGUGGCUGAGUAAGUUAGAUGUGAAAAUUAUCGGCUUAACCGAUAACCUGCAUUUAAAACUGCUCAGCUAGAGUACGGGAGAGGAGAGCGGAAUUCUGUGUGUAGCGGUGAAAUGUGUAGAUAUGCAGAAGAACACCAGUGGCGAAGGCGGCUCUCUGGCCCGAUACUGACGCUGAAGCCCGAAAGCUAGGGGAGCAAACAGG
rnacentral:misc_RNA from 1 species